GCCAGGUGUGGUGGCAUAUGCCUGUAAUCCCAGCAGCUUUGGAGGCUGAGGCAGGUGGAUUGCAAGUUUGAGACCAGCCUCAGCAACUUAGCGAGGCCUUGUCUCAA
rnacentral:sRNA from 1 species